AAAACACAUCAUAAGCAAGCUUUCAACUGCGAACGUCGAGUCUUGUUCCGGCGAGCUUUCCGACGAACUUCUUCCGACGGACUCCCUGCAAGCUCCCAAUCUUUGUGAUGACUUUUAACGAGUAGCCGAGCCUUCUCGGUGAUCUCCGCGAGCCUCCGACGAUUUCUUCGGCGAACUUCCAACACGUUCCCGAUUUCUUCUCGGAUGGUUCCGGCAGCAUCUCCGAUGAUUCUUCGGUCUCUUAAACGUCCAUCGAGCUCGACUCCGGUAUCCUUGCUUUAUGUUUUCUGGUUAUCAUAGUUAAUCCUGCACAC
rnacentral:lncRNA from 1 species